rnacentral:rRNA from 1 species
CCUACGGGAGGCAGCAGUGGGGAAUAUUGCACAAUGGUGGUAACCCUGAUCCAGCGAAGCCGCGUGCGUGAAGAAGUAUCUCGGUAUGUAAAGCUCUAUCUGCAGGGAGGAAAAUGACGGUACCUGAUUAAGAAGCUCCGGCUAACUACGUGCCGGCAGCCGCGGUACUACGGCGGGGGCACGCGUUAUCCGGAUUUACUGGGUGUAAAGGGAGCGUAGACGGCAGCACAAGUCUGGAGUGAACUGCCGGGGCUUAACCCCGGAACUGCUUUGGAAACUGUGCAGCUAGAGUGCAGGAGAGGUAAGUGGAAUUCCUAGUGUAGCGGUGAAAUGCGUAGAUAUUAGGAGGAACACCAGUGGCGAAGGCGGCUUACUGGACUGCAACUGACACUGAGGCUCGAAAGUGUGGGUAUCAAACAGGAUUAGAUACCCUUGUAGUC